rnacentral:rRNA from 1 species
UACGUAGGCAGCAAGCGUUGUUCGGAAUUACUGGGCGUAAAGAGUGUGUAGGCGGUGCUCUAAGUUCGGUGUGAAAUCUCCCGGCUCAACUGGGAGGGUGCGCCGAAAACUGGAGUGCUGGAGCGCGGGAGAGGAAAGCGGAAUUCCUGGUGUAGCGGUGAAAUGCGUAGAUAUCAGGAGGAACACCGGCGGUGUAGACGGCUUUCUGGACCGUAGCUGACGCUGGAGACACGAAAGCGUGGGUAGCAAACAGG